GGAGGGGCACAGAGUGCAGAAGUCCACUGUAACUGAAACAGUGCACUGCUCUCCAUCCCUGCGCAUUUAUUUUUAAAUCCAUUUCAUUCACUAUGUUAUUAACAUGUCAAUACAACAACUUAUUCUGCCCGACUGCAUUGAGGCAGAGUAUCUAUUUGGUCAAUAACUCAAAUAGCCAAGCUGUUGAAAGUAUUCUAAACCUAGGACAUCAAGAGAACCCCAAUUUACCGUGAAGUUGAGUUUUCUAUUUUUUAAUUAGAUGCUCUUUUAUUUUGGCUACUCUGUGGGUACAUGUGUUACCUAAAGCACGUUUGAUGUUGCUAAGUAGGCUAGUUUAUAACUUCGGUAGCAUUGAAGCUGUGUUACGUUGCUCAGCGGUAGAUACGCACCGUUCCACCUACCACCCCAUACAUCAGAUAUUUUGGAGAUUUUCCAUCACCACCAUGGCUGCCGCUUCUUGCUAAUGCACCAACUCAAUCCACAUUCUCGGGCGCAGGACUGCAUUUUUGCGAGACGGAUUAAUUUCCCAACGCCCAGGCGGCCGGCAGACGAACCUUGUUUAACUGACCCUGAUUGGUUGACGUGAACACGCACAGAUUGUAUGGAUGGUGUACAGUGAUACCAGUGAGAAUGGAACUACUAUUUCACCCCUGCUUCUAAAUACUACAUUGGCUGAAGGCCCAGUGCUAGAAGAGGAGGUCCCCGAUACCCAGAGAGGUCCUCAAAUACCCAGAGGGGGUACCCAGAGGCAUUAUGACUGAACAGGGCCCAACUCUGCUUGGCUCUCUGACUUGAAUGGAAACAAUACAGCAACUUAGAGAAAGAAGCAACAACUCUACGUGCAAGUUUGUCACUGUACGACCAACCCAGGAUGUAAACCACUGUACACCACAACACACACACACACUGCCAAAGCCAUCUGAUUGUGUUGUGUCUAUGUCUUUUCUCCUCUGUGGUGGAUAAGGGAUGGGGAAUGAAGGUGGGACUCUGGCCUGUGCUAUGAGAACGGUCAUGUGACAUGACAAGGGCAAGACAAAAAAAAACAUGACAGAUCCAAAAAGAACAGGUAUCAAGACAUUGUAAACAAUAGAUAUAGAAUCUAAUAAUUCCAGUUAUAUGGUUGUAACUUGCUCGGAACAUCACAUUCUCCAUAAAACAAUGUUAAUAGUAUGAAAUAAGUGAAUAAAUGUA